UUUAGUGACUUUGACAGGGCUGGUGGUGCUUCCCAUAUAGGGUAGGAACAGGUGCUCUUUUUGGUAUAACAAGUUUGUUGUUUUGGCUACAGCCCAGAGUUUUUCCUGGACAGGCAAGUCACAUGAUCAGGAAAAUCUAUGGACCUUAGUUAUAGUGGGUAUUAAUACAGGCAGCUGACCAGAGUUUGGAUGUACUCUUAUUAUUGCUACUGUGGUAUGAUGUAAACAAAAGGCCAAAUUAUAGUGCCCCUGCCAGGCGCACGGUGACACAAUUGUCCAACAAGUUUUUCGGAUCUAAGCAGCAUGCCAAGGAGUGUAGAGCAGACGCCACAGGUUGUUAGUUCCGGGAUAAUAGUAAACUGAUCUAAGCAGCAUGCCAAGGAGUAUAGAGCAGACGCCACAGGUUGUUAGUUCCGGGAUAAUAGUAAACUGAUCUAAGCAGCAUGCCAAGGAGUAUAGAGCAGACGCCACAGGUUGUUAGUUCCGGGAUAAUAGUAAACUGAUCUAAGCAGCAUGCCAAGGAGUAUAGAGCAGACGCCACAGGUUGUUAGUUCCGGGAUAAUAGUAAACUGAUCUAAGCAGCAUGCCAAGGAGUGUAGAGCAGACGCCACAGGUUGUUAGUUCCGGGAUAAUAGUAAACUGAUCUAAGCAGCAUGCCAAGGAGUAUAGAGCAGACGCCACAGGUUGUUAGUUCCGGGAUAAUAGUAAACUGAUCUAAGCAGCAUGCCAAGGAGUAUAGAGCAGACGCCACAGGUUGUUAGUUCCGGGAUAAUAGUAAACUGAUCUAAGCAGCAUGCCAAGGAGUGUAGAGCAGACGCCACAGGUUGUUAGUUCCGGGAUAAUAGUAAACUGAUCUAAGCAGCAUGCCAAGGAGUGUAGAGCAGACGCCACAGGUUGUUAGUUCCGGGAUAAUAGUAAACUGAUCUAAGCAGCAUGCCAAGGAGUAUAGAGCAGACGCCACAGGUUGUUAGUUCCGGGAUAAUAGUAAACUGAUCUAAGCAGCAUGCCAAGGAGUAUAGAGCAGACGCCACAGGUUGUUAGUUCCGGGAUAAUAGUAAACUGAUCUAAGCAGCAUGCCAAGGAGUAUAGAGCAGACGCCACAGGUUGUUAGUUCCGGGAUAAUAGUAAACUGAUCUAAGCAGCAUGCCAAGGAGUAUAGAGCAGACGCCACAGGUUGUUAGUUCCGGGAUAAUAGUAAACUGAUCUAAGCAGCAUGCCAAGGAGUAUAGAGCAGACGCCACAGGUUGUUAGUUCCGGGAUAAUAGUAAACUGAUCUAAGCAGCAUGCCAAGGAGUGUAGAGCAGACGCCACAGGUUGUUAGUUCCGGGAUAAUAGUAAACUGAUCUAAGCAGCAUGCCAAGGAGUGUAGAGCAGACGCCACAGGUUGUUAGUUCCGGGAUAAUAGUAAACUGAUCUAAGCAGCAUGCCAAGGAGUAUAGAGCAGACGCCACAGGUUGUUAGUUCCGGGAUAAUAGUAAACUGAUCUAAGCAGCAUGCCAAGGAGUAUAGAGCAGACGCCACAGGUUGUUAGUUCCGGGAUAAUAGUAAACUGAUCUAAGCAGCAUGCCAAGGAGUAUAGAGCAGACGCCACAGGUUGUUAGUUCCGGGAUAAUAGUAAACUGAUCUAAGCAGCAUGCCAAGGAGUGUAGAGCAGACGCCACAGGUUGUUAGUUCCGGGAUAAUAGUAAACUGAUCUAAGCAGCAUGCCAAGGAGUAUAGAGCAGACGCCACAGGUUGUUAGUUCCGGGAUAAUAGUAAACUGAUCUAAGCAGCAUGCCAAGGAGUAUAGAGCAGACGCCACAGGUUGUUAGUUCCGGGAUAAUAGUAAACUGAUCUAAGCAGCAUGCCAAGGAGUAUAGAGCAGACGCCACAGGUUGUUAGUUCCGGGAUAAUAGUAAACUGAUCUAAGCAGCAUGCCAAGGAGUGUAGAGCAGACGCCACAGGUUGUUAGUUCCGGGAUAAUAGUAAACUGAUCUAAGCAGCAUGCCAAGGAGUAUAGAGCAGACACCACAGGUUGUUAGUUCCGGGAUAAUAGUAAACUGAUCUAAGCAGCAUGCCAAGGAGUAUAGAGCAGACGCCACAGGUUGUUAGUUCCGGGAUAAUAGUAAACUGAUCUAAGCAGCAUGCCAAGGAGUAUAGAGCAGACGCCACAGGUUGUUAGUUCCGGGAUAAUAGUACAUUGCAAAAGAGAAUCCAUAAUUCCAUAGCUUCCUUCAGGGUGUCACAAGGCAGGAAUCAAAGAAUAACACAUGCAAACCAUCCUGAACUCUUUUAACUCAUUCUUCUUUU